rnacentral:rRNA from 1 species
UACGAAGGUCCCAAGCGUUAUCCGGAUUUAUUGGGUUUAAAGGGUGCGUAGGCGGGUUAUUAAGUCAGUGGUGAAAGCCUUCAGCUUAACUGAAGAACUGCCAUUGAUACUGAUGAUCUUGAGUAUGAUUGAGGUGGGCGGAAUGUGUCAUGUAGCGGUGAAAUGCUUAGAUAUGACACAGAACACCGAUUGCGAAGGCAGCUCACUAAGCCAU